UCAAAGAGAUUUCAACACAAACAUAUCGUGCACAAAGAUAUCCAAAUCAAACAAUACACCAAAAACAAAUAUGAGCCACGAGAUCAAAACACUCAACACCAGUAAAAUAACAUGACAAAACACCCAUGAACAAAGCGGUCAAAGGGUUAAUUAGGGGCUUUUCAUAAAUCUUAAUGAGUUAAGAACAACAUGCGAUAUCAAAC
rnacentral:lncRNA from 1 species